UGUUAGACUGUGGGCAUGUGUGCUGCUGCCACAGCUGCUACCAGGCUCUUCCACACCGCCGAUGCCCUAUAUGCAGACAGGAUAUCAGCAGAGUGGUGCCUCUCUACCACGUCUAAGGCCCCUGUGGGGCUUCAACGCCAUACAAACUGUACCAGCGUUACACCUCAAAGUGAUUACUGUAGGUUUUUCAACAGACAAUUUGUAGGCAUUCACUUAACCUUCUCAAACCUACAGUACAGCUUUUUCUGAUACGACAGAUACUGCUGCUCCUUUGUCUACUACCAUUUUUACAGUAGCCCUUUCCUCGUUUAACUUUUACAUACACAUAGAAGGGUUUCUCAAUUUCUGCAUCAUGUCAGAACCAGUGUCCUCACCCUCAGUCUCUAUAGACCUAAUCACUGUGACGUCGCGCAAACACAUCAAUCACUUCCAAGUAGACAACUGGCUGCUGAUUUGAAUUUUUAGGCGAAAUCGGCAAACUUGUUUAUUUCUGUUGUCAUUUUCAACCGUAACUGUAACAUUUAAAGAUAUAUAUUGUAAAACACGGAGGUUUGACGUUUCUGAUGUGUUUAUUUUCUGUACUGUGUUGCUUUGCUAGCAUCUUUGAUAAACCAAAUCUAACGUCACGAACAGCAACAUCUCACCGCCGGUCAGACUGACUGUUUGUUUAGUGUUGACAUAUGAAAGCAUCAAACAUGCGUUUUAGGUGAAUGAGAUGAGUAACAUCCAAUUGUUCCUCGUCCCUGAUUGGUCAUUCUAUGGAAUACUGUAGAUGCAGGUAUUGUAAACAAACAUUGCGAUUCUUUUAUUAUUAUACAUCCAUGGAUUGGGUCUAUAGAAAACAGUUCAAGCCCUCUGACGUUACCUUCCUGGUACUUGGUGCAGGUUGAGUUUUUGCUGACCCCGCCUUCUGUCACUCUAGCUGGACAGGCAGGGGAUGUCGUCAGGCGGACAGCCCUGCAUGGGACAGCCAGAAAGACUGGCCUCUACCACCGGCCAUUCCGGCUUUUUACUUUGGUCGCUUUCAUCCGCCUGGGCUGUAGCAUCCUGGUGCUUGGUCCACCCAGUCUGCAAUCUUACUGCUGUAAAGAAUAAAGAUUUUCUUUCAAGAACAUACUGUAUGUAUAAAAUAAUGUGAAUUGUAAGGAUAAUGUGCAAACACUUUGUUCACUACAGAGUUUCAGUGAGGUAUUUUAUCUGUAAUUGUAUUUAAGAAAUACAGGGAGAUGAAGUAAUUAGAAAAAGGUGUACAGAGAUGUUUAUUUUCCUACCUGUUAGUUCUGUGCCUUAUGGUAAUUUAUAUUGCUGCUACUGUCUUAGUGUGAUUAAACUGUGUAUCUGAAUAACUUAAGUCUGGUCAGAAGAUUUCAACGUCUUUCAGUUACAUAUUUGAGUCACAGGAAGUUAUUGAAGCAAAGAUACAUUUAUUGCCAAGACGAAGUGAUUCAUUAACGAGUUAUUAAUGUACUAAAAACAGGUGAGAGUGUGAAAUGUUGGAUAGUUGAAACAAAACAAUAAAGCAUCACUCUUUGAACCAA